rnacentral:rRNA from 1 species
CGCGAAGAACCUUACCAGGUCUUGACAUCCUCUGACAAUCCUGGGGACAGGACGUUCCCCUUCGGGGGACAGAGUGACAGGUGGUGCAUGGUUGUCGUCAGCUCGUGUCGUGAGAUGUUGGGUUAAGUCCCGCAACGAGCGCAACCCUUGAUCUUAGUUGCCAGCAUUCAGUUGGGCACUCUAAGGUGACUGCCGGUGACAAACCGGAGGAAGGUGGGGAUGACGUCAAAUCAUCAUGCCCCUUAUGACCUGGGCUACACACGUGCUACAAUGGACGGUACAAAGGGCAGCAACACCGCGAGGUGAAGCGAAUCCCAUAAAGCCGUUCUCAGUUCGGAUUGCAGGCUGCAACUCGCCUGCAUGAAGCCGGAAUUGCUAGUAAUCGCGGAUCAGCAUGCCGCGGUGAAUACGUUCCCGGGUCUUGUACACACC